AAAUGAAUAUCCUGGUGUCACCAGUUUUCGCCGAUAGUCGUCGACAUCGUCCUCAGAGGUGGCAGCUUCAUGAUGAAUUUCAUCCAAGACAUUUGAAGGGUUCAUGGAUGAGGGCGUACAUUAUCAAUAAUUUGCGCGCAUCGUUUUUCGAAAAAAUCAACAGAUGUUCCA